CCCCACUUUGUACUGCUGAACCAUACGACACUAUUGAUGAUUGUAGUUUCAAGGUUUAGAUAUUAAUGAUAUUUUCUGUUUCCUAUCAAUAGAGAAAAAGGUUUAGGAUUAUUUUUUACUAUGUGAUUCCUUUUACAAUUAAUGGUAGCAUGUUUGUGUUAAAAUAACACAAAAUAUGAACAUAUUCUAAUUCAAUAAAGACAUCUUUUGGGCUUUGCUUUUCUUUGAAAACAUGUAAUGUGAUAGAGUAAGGAAGCACAAUCUAUUACUGUAGAACUAAUGGGGAGGGGAAGAGUUAAAGAAUUACUUGAGGUUCAAUUCAAAGAAGAUUCUUCUGUGGAAAGCCUCCAAAGUUAGUUAUUUAUUGUCCGAUCAGUCUGAUUUCUUCUCUUUAUAAAAUUAUUGCCAAAGCUCUUGCUUAGAGGUUGAAGAAGGUUCUCCCUUCCACCAUAAGCGAUUGUCAAACAACCUUUGCAGUGGGUAUCCUAGAUGCCAUUCUUGUAGCUUCAGAAUUGGUUGAAGAUUUGGACGUUAAGUAACAAUAGGGGUAUGUUUUGAAGUUGGACCUUGAAAAGGCUUAGGACAAAGUCGAUUGGCACUUCCUUGAUGUUGUUCUGAAGCUAAAAGGCUUUGAUAGCUUGAGGAGAAAACGGAUAAGAGGUGGUUUCUACUGAAAAUUUCUCUGUUUUGAUUAAUGGUGAGCCUAGGGAAAAGAUUUCAGCGGUAAGAGGUUUGAGGCAAGGCCAUCCUUUGCCCCCCUUCCUCUCUCUUUCUAUCAUCAGGGAGGCUCUCAGCUGAGUGUUGCAUGAUUGUCAGGAAAGCAGAAUCUUAAAAGCUUUUCAAGUUGGGGAAGCUAUGGUCAAUAUGUCGCAUCUCCAGUACACUGAUGACAUUGUUGAGCCUUUAUGUGGAAUGGAAUACUUUGCCCGCAUUGAUUGGGGUGUUGGGUGUGGGCUCGCUAUAUUAUUGAAAUAUGUCUUUGCUAGGUGGCUCUGGAGAUACACGCAAGAAGAAAAUCCCCUCUGGAAGAAGGUGUUCAAAUCCAUUUUUGGGAAGAUAGUUUGGUUGACCAAGAUACAUUACAGAAUUGCUUUCCGGAUUUUUCUGUGAUUUCUAGCAAAGAAGGUGCUUCUAUUUCUGAGUGUUGGGACAACAACAAAAAAGUUGGAAUUUGGGCCACACAUGGGGUCUCUUUGACAGGGAACUAAAUAGUUGGGGUGAUAAUAGAAAAUUUGACUUCGGUUCAGUGAGUUGGAUGGCCUGAUCGAGCCUUUUAGCCCCUUGAGGGCUAAGGUUGUUAUUCUUUGAAGUCAGCCUGCAUAUGUGUUUCUAAAAAUACUAGAAAGGUAAAAUCCCCUUGACCGCGUUGGUUUGGAGAAGCAAAUGGACGCAGAAAGUAGAACUUUUCGGUCCUUUGGCAUUUAGAAGCCUUGAUACGAGAUGAUUCAGAAAAAAGGUUUCAAGUCUUGGGCUCUUUCUCAGUUGGGGUGCAUAUUAUGCUUGAAAGAGGGGGAAGAUAUAAACUACUUUUUUCUCCAUUGGUUGUUGGCAUUUCAGGCUUGAACUUUAAUUUUUAGAAGUUAGGGAUUGGGACUUGUCCUCUCCGGAGGAUUGAUGAUUGGCUUGUGGAAGGCAUAAGUGCUUUGAAUUUGUCAAGCAAAGCUAGGAUUUUGGGUUGCUAUGCUAUGAUAGAUUCUUUGUGGCAGAUUUGGCUCGAAAUCUAUAUUUUCAAGAUAAGUUUCCUAAUUUUGAUUCUUUUUGUAUUCUUUACGGUUCUUGAUGGGCCUCUUUACAUUCAAAGUUCUUUUAUCAGCUAUUGGAAACCGCUUGUUAAGUAGUUCCCCUGGACGGAAUUUCCUCUUCCCUUAGUAGUGUUGUCUUUUAUUGUCUUUUUACCUUCCCUUGUGUGGAUCUAUAUCUAUCUAUCUAUAUGUGUAUAUAUAGUGAAUGGAAUAGAGUAUUCUGAUUCUCUCAAACCUUUAGCAUUUACAUGGCAAUAGAGAGCUAGGUUAAUUGGAUUUUUUUUGUUAACCUAGGGAUUUUUUUUUUUUUUUUUUUUUUUUUUUUUUUUAACCUAUGGUUUUGUGAACCUUAGAUUUUGGAGUUUGGGUCAGAGAUUUCUGUCUAGACAUGUUGUAUCUGUGCAUCUACUCAUAACUUUGAAAAUUUCAUUACGAUUUCUGCAGAGGAGUUUGCUAAAUUUCAACCAUAUCAAGUGUCAUUAUUGACAUUAUAUUCUACUCCAGUUACUGCUAUCACAAAGACUGUAACGCUUCUAUAUGCCUUCUUCCUCCACCUUGAAAUGAGCCAUUGACUUUGGUGCUACCAAUCAUAUGACAGGCAAUCCCAAUUUAUUCCCUAAUCUUCUUUUUAAAAUUUUUUUGUCUACCUUUUCACCUAAUGUUACCAUAGAUGAAAAAACUACAUCUCCAGUUUGGGUCUGACGCAAUGAAUCUUACCAAAUCAAUUUCAUUGUCGUUUGGUUUAAAUUUACCACAGUUAUCUUUUGAUCUCUAUUAGUAAAUUCGCUUGCAAUCUUAAUUCUUGCAUCUUAUUCAUUCCUGGUCAUUGCUUAAUGCUUAGUUUAGGAUCUUACAACGAAGAAGACUAUUGGUAGUGGGCGUGAAUUUGAAGGUCUCUGCAUCUUUAAACCACAAGUAUCUAUAGCCAUCAUAUGCUCUAGAGUGUCCACUUAGCCGCCAUCACAUGCUCUAGAGUGCCUCCUUCCUUUGAAGAAUAUUUCCAUUUGGGUCAUUUGUCUAUCUCAAUAUUGAAGACUCUCGUCCUCAAUUUGAUCAUUUGUGAAUGCAAAAAAAAAAUGGAUGUCUGCAGUAUGGUCCGCUCAACAAAGGAUCAUAUGUUUUUGGUAAAUAGUCGUUUUUUAGUUUCGUUAGAUUAUGUGUCAUGUUAGUUUGCUAAGUUUUAACAUAUGAGUUUGUAUCCAAUAGUCAAUACAUGAGCUAGUGCUCUUAUUGAGUCAUAGAGGGUCUCAGUAUUUUUUUACCUUUGUUGACGAUUAUUCUCGUGUUACUUGGUUAUUUUUAAUGAAAAGCCAUUCUAAGUUGAUUUCUUAUUUUCAUAACAUUCAUCGGUAAAUUCGAAAUCAACCAGUUGUGAAUGCAAAAAAAUGGAUUUGUCUGCAGUAUGGUCCGCUCAACAAAGGAUCAUAUGUUUUUGGUAAAUAGUCGUUUUAGUUUCGUUAGAUUAUGUGUCAUGUUAGUUUGCUAAGUUUUAACAUAUGAGUUUGUAUCCAAUAGUCAAUACAUGAGCUAGUGCUCUUAUUGAGUCAUAGAGGGUUUCAGUAUUUUUUUACCUUUGUUGACGAUUAUUCUCGUGUUACUUGGUUAUUUUUAAUGAAAAGUCAUUCUAAGUUGAUUUCUUAUUUUCAUAACAUUCAUCGGUAAAUUCGAAAUCAACCAGUUCUUUUAAAGUCCUACGGUGUGUAAUGCUAAGAAAUAUUUCUAAAAAAGAGAUACUCCUUAUACAAUUAAUUUUGUAAUUAAGGGUAUUCAUGACACCCAACGUUUGCCGUUGAAUGAAAAGUUAACUCAAGAAAUGAGACAAAUGAGUUGGCUCGAUUGGAGGGGUUCAACAACAUUUUCUUGAUUAGAGGCAGUGUCUUGAGCAGCAUCCCAAAUCUCUUUGAUAGUUGAAAGUAGGAGAAAAUUAUCUCUAAUCUUAGUGCUCAUGGAGUUGAUUAACUAGCUCAUAACUUGAUUGUUCUUGUGGAUCGUCGAGUUUGGGUUAUAAGAUUCUUUACCUGUGAUAUAAUCUUCUCAUCCACAGACCGUACAUGAACAUCAUCACGAUUGUGAACUCUGAAGGUAGUUGUGGCCUUGGAGUUUGUGGCAUGUUAUUUGCAUACUGUUGCUCUCAGUGAAGGGGAAAAUGAUAUUUUGCGAUUCUGAUCCUUACAAGAUUUAAAAGAAAAAAAAAGAAAAAAAAAAGAAAAAAAAGAGAAGAGGAAAUGAAGCAAUGGGGAAAAACAGACGUGAGGUCAUUGUGAAAAGAAAGUGCAUGGCGACGACUGAUGAUGAUGGCAAUGACAACAACAAAGGAGGUUUUUAUUCUAAAUGAACCCCCCCCCCCC